rnacentral:rRNA from 1 species
AGUACAUAGUACGUUGAAACUGAAUGAGUUGGAAGCGUAUAGAGUUGUCGAAAGAUGGUAAUAAUAAGUUUCAUACAAAUGUAACAGUCUGUAAAAUGUUUUCGAAAGGAUCAUUUUAUGAAUGUAGUUUAUUUUUAUGGAAUGCACUUGUUGCCAUUGUGCUGAUACAAUUGAUUAAGAUUUUUGAAAUUAUAUUAGAGGGCAUUUCUUCGGACGUGUAUCCUGGUAUAAUGGAUAAAAUUUUUGGUUAAUUGUCCUUAUAUUGGCUUAAGGAAAGGGUAAAUUUUGCGUGAUCUAAGAGUUAACGUUUACGUUGGCUUUUUAAUUCUGUAAAAUUUUAUUCUGUACAAAAGUUAAUAUAUAUCAGUAUAAAAGACAAUCACCUAUAUGUCCCGUCUUGAAACACGGACCAAGGAGUUUAUUGUAUGUGCGAGUCAUUAAGUGAUUAAAACUUAUUGGCGUAAUGAAAGUAAAGUUUUCUUUAUCGAAAAUGAUAUAUGAUUGUUAUUCCUAUAUGGAUGACAAGUAGUAUAGUCCCAUCUAAUUUGCUUGCAAAUGGGUGGAGAUAGAGCAUAUGCAAUGAGACCCGAAAGAUGGUGAACUAUGCCUGAGCAGGAUGAAGUCAGAGGAAACUCUGAUGGAAG